CCUACGGGAGGCAGCAGUGAGGAAUAUUGGUCAAUGGACGAGAGUCUGAACCAGCCAAGUAGCGUGAAGGAUGACGGCCCUAUGGGUUGUAAACUUCUUUUAUAAGGGAAUAAAAUGUGCCACGUGUGGGAUUUUGUGUGUACCAUAUGAAUAAGGAUCGGCUAACUCCGUGCCAGCAGCCGCGGUAAUACGGAGGAUCCGAGCGUUAUCCGGAUUUAUUGGGUUUAAAGGGAGCGUAGGUGGAUUUUUAAGUCAGUGGUGAAAGUUUGCGGCUCAACCGUCAACUUGCCGUUGAAACUGGCAGUCUUGAGUACAGUAGAGGUAUGCGGAAUUCGUGGUGUAGCGGUGAAAUGCUUAGAUAUCACGCAGAACUCCGAUUGCGAAGGCAGUUCACUGGACUGCACCUGACACUCAUGCUCGAAAGUGUGGGUAUCAAACAGGAUUAGAUACCCGAGUAGUC
rnacentral:rRNA from 1 species